UGGUCCCUUGGCUGACAAAACCUUUGACCUCAUUCCAUACGGUCCGGCAUCUGAAGCUCAGCUCUCUUCUGUAUCUGCAUUUGGGCUGUUUUAAGAAGAGUAAGCCAGACUUUUGAAUCUCCAGGUCUAUCUACAGCACAAUCUGAAGAGGAAGAAAGAAAGAGGACAUGGAAGAAGCCAGAAAACGGAGCAUCCUGCAGUUACAUCCAUUUUGCUGCAAACACCUGGAGGGCGUUCUUCUUUAUGCCUGAGUGACACUCCAUGGUGCUGUCUAAAGUCCUUGCUGGGGAACAGGAGCCCACGGGAGAGAGCCAGGCUGCCUCGCUGACCGCUGUUGCUAGGGGCAUCAUUCAUCAGGGCCGCUUGUGUGGACUCAAGACAGGAAUCCGGGAGGAGGUGGUGAGACUGAAAAUGUUCCGUGGGGGAAAUCCAGGAAGCCCACGUGCAAAUCCUAACUGCUGUCCUUGGUCCCCAGGGAGAGGAAGGUGUUAUGGCAUCCUUUUCCUUCAGCGUGUAGGAUGUUCCGCUGGUGCCCACACCUGGGCAGAGUGAGCUGGCCGCUCACCCAUGCCGCACACCUGCCAUCCUGUGCAGUGUGACCUCAGACUCCUUAAACUCCGGGAUCAGAACUUGGCCUGGUCCCAUGCUGGGCAGACGUGGGUGGUAUGAGCAGCUGCACGCACAGCCCUAACUCCACCCCUACUCCCUGAUAGCCGAACAGUACUGCUUUGGUCUUUUCUUUCAUCCCUGGGUUUCCACUGCCAGGCCGGGUCUCCUUUCUCGGAUGGAGCCUUCCUGAUGGCGCUGGUCACCUGAUGCUCUUUCUUCGUGUUCCCAUAUGUCUGCGUCAAUCCGUUGUUGAUUUGUUUGUCCACUGUUUCCUCAGCUCCCAGUGAGAGGUUCCUUUGUGUGGACGGCUGUGUUAAUCACUGAGUCACAGAAAAGACAUGGGCUUCUGUGGGUUACACAUUAACUGCAGAACAGAUGUUUCCAGAGCUGUAGUGAUUGCCUAGUAUCCCAAUGACAGUCACACAAAGCAGCCUCCAGCCACCGCUCCAACCAGCAUGGGGCAGCCAGAGAGAAAAGGCUUGCACAGUGGACCAGCGUGCCUGUUGCCUGCUGCUUGGAGACCACUCUCUGGCUGCAGGGCUGACAGAUGGAAGCUGCAGGCCAGAGAUAUUCCUACCUGCAGGGAAGGUGAGACUGAGCUCUGAGUGACUUGGAGGUGGAUGGACAUUUGGAGUGGAGUGAUAUCAGAUCGUUCUG